rfam:Cochliobolus sativus ND90Pr unplaced genomic scaffold COCSAscaffold_10, whole genome shotgun sequence.
AGCUGAAUGGCGCAGCGGAAGCGCGCCGGGCUCAUAACCCGGAGGACGCACGAUCGGUAAGCAAUACCUACUCACAAUGAGUCAUUCGAAUUCAAUUA